CUAACCUUUCCAACUUCUCACUUAAAACAGUAGCUGUACUGACGUGUGAAGUAUGUCCGUCUUUUUAAUUUAGUUGAUAAAUAAGAAAGACGUUUUUUGAUUUUCUUUGUAGUUUUUUUUUAUAAUUGAGCAAAAGCAAAAAAAAAAAAAAGAGCUGAUACUGGGGAUGAGAGUGGCUACUGUUGUUGGUGAGAAGUUGGGAAGGUAGGAUACAAAAGGUUAUUUUAUUUAUUUCUUAAGCAACGGUAAACCAUUGUUUGAUGAAAGACGAUUCCGAGCGCAGUUCGGUAAUACAUAAUUUUUGAGAUUUUCGUUUAAAUUUGAUUUAUCAAAAAAAAAAAUGUCGUCCGAUGAUUUUGGAAAUUUGACCACCUUUAGGUAAGUCCAGUAUAAGUAUUAUUACCAAGUUUCAAGUUUCUACGUGUAUAUUUAUAAUCGAAUUACAGCAAAAAAACUCUCAAAAAUUAAAAUUUCUUAAAAGCUCAAAAGAGGCUUAAAAGUUUUAGCAAUGAUACCGUAAGAAAGUAAAUCAAAAAGGCAACACAAAAGGUAUCCUGUGAUUUUUCGAUUAAAUCAUUUUUUCUGGUAGAAAACGUCCGUGUAAUUAUAAAAUAAUGAAAUUGUGAAACUGUACGUUUUCCCAUGUUUUUCCCAACUUAAGUGCUUUUAUU